rnacentral:rRNA from 1 species
GACGAGGGACCUAGCGUUGUUCGGAAUCAUUGGGCGUAAAGCGGGUGUAGGCGGACUUAUAAGUCAGGUGUGAAAUCCCAGGGCUCAACCCUGGAAGUGCACUUGAUACUGUAAGUCUUGAGUGUGGUAGAGGCUAUUAGAAUUCCUGGUGUAGUGGUGAAAUACGUAGAUAUCAGGAGGAAUACCGGAGGCGAAGGCGGAUAGCUGGGCCAAACACUGACGCUGGAGACCCGAAAGCGUGGGGAUCAAACAGG